rnacentral:rRNA from 1 species
GACGAACGCUGGCGGCGUGCUUAACACAUGCAAGUCGAGCGGUAAGGCCCUUUCGGGGUACGACGAGCGGCGAACGGGUGAGUAACACGUGGGUGACCUGCCCUCAGCUCUGGGAUAAGCCUGGGAAACCGGGUCUAAUACUGGAUAUGACUCCAUGACGCAUGUUGUAGGGGUGGAAAGCCUUGUGCGGGCUGAGGAUGGGCCCNCGGCCUAUCAGCUUGUGUGGGUGAGGCCUACCAAGCGACGACGGGUAGCCGGCCUGAGAGGGCGACCGGCC